GUGUAUAGCCAAAGCAAAUAAUAAACUUAUUUUCUCUCAAUGAUAAAACAUAAAAAAAAAAAAACCCCAAAUCGAAAACCUCUGUCUCUUCAACUCCGACUCCACCACCGUAAAGCUCUUCGCCGACCUCAUUUCAUGUCCAUUCCAUCCUUAUCCUUCAUCCUCCAGCUUGGUUCACAUGGUCGAUUCCUCCGAUACAGAUAACACCAAUCGGGACACGGAUCUAGAUCGAGAUCGAGAGGCCACCAAGUUUGUUUCUGAAUCGUCACGAGGUUUGUUUCAUGGUGAGCUAGAGGUCUUCGCUUCUCAGUGUUUGGGAAUAAUGUUCCUGGAGAGAAGAAGUAUGGUGGUUUCUUUUUCUUUUUCUUCUCUUGCUUCUUCUCUGGCCACAAACUACUCUUUCAUGGUUCUGAAUUCUUACCUCUUGAUAUUGAGAAAAAUCGUAAGCUUACUUUGUCUUAGUUUUGGUAUAUGUGUAAAAAGGCUACUGCCAUGGCUAUUAACCGGAUUUUGAAUCAAACACAGCUUACAUGAAAAAUCAUAUGUUGGUUUCAUCGGAAAUGAGGAUUGUUGUUGUUUUGCCUUUGUUAUAGGGUGAAUGAAUCUUUUGACGCUAGAGAAAUGGAGUAUGUGCGGUUAGUAUCCUCUGUUUGUUGGAUAUAUAUGGUGAGAUCACAUUUGUUUUGAACUUGUAUUCUUUUGGUAAGUUGUGAAGAAGAGAGAGAUGGAACCUUAGGAGUCUCUAGAAGUGACGCAGUCAAGGCUCUCUCCUACUCCGUUUCUUACUUUGCCUCAGUCAGGUUCGUCGAAUUCUUUCUCGUAGCUUUCAACUUGUUUAUCUUUUAAGAGAAUAAGUUUUCGUUGCCUCAGUCAGGUUUGGUUUUAUCUCUUAACUUCAGAUGGUCCAUUGAGCUAUAAGUUUUCGUUGCAUCAGUCAGGUUUGGUUUGAUUGUACACCCCUAGAUCUAUUGGGUUAUAUCAAUUUCUAUCACUCUUUGUCGCUUUAGAUCUUAUCCCCAAAUUCUUCUUCUUCUUAAAAGCUUUUGGGUUAGAUUUUGUUAGGUUUUGAUUGAUUUGGGUUGGAUUUAUUUCUUAGAAGCUUUUGACCGGAGUGGAGUGGUGUAUGUUCUGAUGAACCUUUUCAUGCCCUUAAGGUGUUCGACGAAUUGCCUCAUUAUUGGCUGGCUUGUUUCUUAAUUGUUUUGUGUUGAUUUUGGUUUUGUGGUGUUGCUCUUGAACCUUUCAGGUGCUUACGAUUCUUGUCACUAACCUAUAGAAGAGUAGAGUAGAGUUCUGGUUUAUCUUUGAUGGGGUUUUGUUUCUUACCGUAAGUGAAGAUGUUUCCAACUAGAUCUUACUUUUGCAUCUUUGGGAUGGGUGUUUUUCCCCAGUCUAGAAAUAAGUAAUUUUCUGCUUAAGUUUUUGUUGGAUUUCUUAUCUCUUUUCCUUAAUUUAUGAAAGGUUGUGACUUUAGCAGUUUGAUUAAACAUAUCUAAAUGGGUAUUGAUUUGUUGAUAGUUUAGAGAAAAGUCUUUGACUUUUAGCAGUUUCAUUGAACAAGUCUAUAUGUAACUGAGUUUUAUUACAAUUCAUGAUUGGAUUUCUGAUUUUGUUGAAAGAAAGUAAUGAGUUUUAAACUUAAUUUGGUGCUUGUAGCUCUUCUGUGAAGAAAUACUCAUUGGAUGCUCCUCUACGUCAACCUCUUUUAAGUUAUCUCUCCUCAAGCACAAAGCUUUUACUCUAGAGGUUGGUUUGUGAUUCAUGUAUUUUUGUGAGGCUUCUAUGAACAGAUUUCUGAGGUCAUGGAGUUUAGAUGUUUCAUAUUUGUUAUGAGGAGUGCACUUAUAGUUGUCUCUGCAUUCAGAUAAUUGUGUUCACCAAAAACCCCAAUCGAAGGGAAGAUGAAAAUUAAGAAUUUGCAAAGUCUACGGGUAUCAAGAGCUUUGUAAGGAACUACUCUCGGAACAACUGUGUACUUGAGUUCGUGAACGUUUAUGAGCCAACCAUUUGGAUGUAUCUAGGAAAGCUACGAUUUUUCUACCACAGUCGGCUUUGAAAUCUAUAUUUUCUGUUAUUAGUAAUGUAAGUUAGUAUAAGAAUUGGUAUAAUAUUAUGUAUUACUUGUUUUGGGUAAUGUAAUAUUGUUAUUGUUUAUGUUGAUGAUUUAUGGAAUAUAAAUUUAUUGAUAAA